UCCAGUUGCCCCCACAUCAGAGGGAAAGGAGCAAUGACAAGGGCUGAGUGUGUGUUGGAAGAUGUUUGGCUGAGCAAGGAAUCCUGAGUAAAAAGGAAGUUGGGAGAAUAUGGAGCUGUUACAGAAGUGCAGGACAUCCAGGGCCUAGCACAGACAUAUGUGACCGUUCGCGAGUGGAUUUUGACCGUCAGGGAAUGGUACCAAAUGUUAUUUGAUCCCGUGGAGAUCAAGAGGAAACCGCCCUUUGGAAAUGUAAGUAAAUACCAGCCCUGAGUUUUCUCCCAUCUGUCCUGCUGCCGACUGAAUGUGUCCUCCCAGAUUCAGAUGUGAAAACCCUCAUUUCCUACGCAAUGGUAUUUGGAGGUCUCGUCGUCAGUCCCGCCCCUCUGGUCCCUCGCGGCUCCCCCACCGCCCACCUUCUGGAUGACAUCCCAGCUCUGACUCCUGAAGGCCCAGCAGGUUCUGCCCCGGCCCACUUUCCAGCCCCGGGGGUUACCACCUGCUCUUCCCACAGCCUCUGAUGUCACGUCCUCUAAAGUCUUUCCUGGCCCCCAAGGUGGACCCUCCUCGGAUGCUCCCUCCCCCAGAGCCCCACCCACAUAGCUGGUGCCGAGCCACUUUCCCCGCAGCGUUCUGGAAGCUCCCGCAGCAGAGGGACCGCCGUGGCCCCGAGUAAGUGGGGCAGCGUCCAGAGGCAGAACGACGUGUCUCCCGGCCCUGGGCAGUCGCUUUCAGUGUCAUCCCUGGGAACUUGUCGGAAUGCGAAUUCUCGGGCCUCACCCCAAGCCUGCCGAAUCAGUUCUGGGGAGGGGACACAGAGGUCUGCUCUGAGCAGCCCCCAGGGGGUUCUGAGGCCCAUGGAGGCUUCUAGCCAGACACCCCUGGUUGGAUCAGGAGGGGCUGUUAAUGAGCAUCUGGCUGAGGGAAGAAACACAGCUGCAAGUGCCAAGUGAAAGUCCAAGGCCCCAGUGGUGGAUGUUUCCCAGAGUUCUUGUGGCUGUUGUCUUCUUAGGCCUGGACAUUUCGUGUGUCAUG